GUGAGGCCUGUUCGGACCAGCCCACUGUGCCCGUCUCCCGGGCCCCCGCCACCCGCCCGGAUUAUCGACGGCGCCCCGGCGUACUCCAUCACCCGCAUUAUGGAUGCCCGGCGCCGCGGUAGGGGCUUUCAGUUUUUGGUGGAUUGGGACAGGUAUGGUCCGGAAGAGCGUUCUUGGGUGCCGCAGUCCGUAAUUCUUGAUGAUGCCAUGGAGGUAACCUAGCAACAGGCUACCUCCGACCCGGAAGUGCUGUCGCCCGGAGCUGCCGCACCUGCAAUCAAUCCACCAGCUGCUGCCAAUCUACCACCAUCUUCAGCAGGGCUACUUAAUGGUGUGGCUGAGCGACAGACAGCGCUGGAGUAUUGCACUAAGCCUGGGAUUGACGGAGGAUUCACGGACACAAAGGAAGCACUUGGAAGAGAGACGGGCACUCGCUACCACGCACGGGCUUACACGGAAGGAAGGACGCACAAUCACCAUUGUUGCACAUUUGAACUGUUGUCACCUUGCUGCACUGUAAAUAAAUGCACUGUCCUUAUUUCUGAGCUCCGCGUCUGAGUCCACUCUUAAAC
ensembl:lncRNA